rnacentral:piRNA from 1 species
UUGCUAUGUUGACAGGAACUUCUC